UACAGAGGGUGCAAGCGUUGUUCGGAAUUACUGGGCGUAAAGCGCGUGUAGGCUGUUUUUUAAGUCGAAUGUGAAAGCCCUCAGCUUAACUGAGGAAGUGCAUUUGAUACUGGAAGACUUGAGUGUCAGAGGGGGUGGCGGAAUUCCUGGUGUAGAGGUGAAAUUCGUAGAUAUCAGGAGGAACACCUGUGGCGAAGGCGGCCACCUGGAUGACAACUGACGCUGAGACGCGAAAGCGUGGGUAGCAAACAGG
rnacentral:rRNA from 1 species